rnacentral:rRNA from 1 species
CAGCCGCCGCGGUAAUACGAAGGGGGCUAGCGUUGUUCGGAAUUACUGGGCGUAAAGCGCACGUAAGCGGAUAUUUAAGUCAGGGGUGAAAUCCCAGAGCUCAACUCUGGAACUGCCUUUGAUACUGGGUAUCUUGAGUAUGGAAGAGGUGAGUGGAAUUCCGAGUGUAGAGGUGAAAUUCGUAGAUAUUCGGAGGAACACCAGUGGCGAAGGCGGCUCACUGGUCCAUUACUGACGCUGAGGUGCGAAAGCGUGGGGAGCAAACAGGAUUAGAUACCCCCGUAGUCCCUGUCUCUUAUAC